ACAAACUCUAAAAUUUGGGCUUCCAAGCCACUGCCCCAUAUCAAAACGGCGAUGGCAGCGAUGCCUUAUUCGAUUAAAAAAAUUGUGUAUUCUAAUGCACUUACAGUGGAGACAGAACAAGAUACUUUGCACUCCCACCGCACGCCUUCGCUGUCACUGCUUGUCUCCGGAAAGAACGAGAUUCACUCCGAUGUUGUUUCGAUCUGAAUCUGUGAAUGGCUUCUUAAGACGAAGGCCUUCACGUUCUCCGACGUUGUUGUUGAUGCGUGAUCUCUGUUGCCGAAGAAGAUGACGAAUCUACGAAGAAUCCCGAUUAACCUCUGUGAAAUCUCGAACGAAUUCGUGUCGAAUCCAAAGCCCAGCGAAAUCGAAACGGAUUCGAUGCCAGCUCCGGUUCUUCUUCUUCUCCAGUUCCUUGUUGUUACGAUGUGCGUCAUUGUAAGGUUGUUGCGAUGAGUGCAACUGAAACUGAAUUGGAGUGAAGAUUUUUUGAGAUUUGCGUGUGAUUCUGAGAGUGAAGAAAGGUUGAGGGUGAAGAGCUUUUGAGUUUCUCUGAGUUGUGCAUGGUGAAGAUUUGCGUGAGCUUUUGAUUUUCUUUGAGAGUUGCUUGUGAGUUUCGACGAUGACAAUUCAACUAAAGAGACUCCUUCAUACUUUGAACAUGUUGACUCACAUUUUUCCGAUUCUCCAACUCCGAAAUAUAAACAAACAAACAAAAUUCAAGGGUGUUCACAUUAACAAACACAUUGAAUGGAUUGUAAAUGUUAAGGGUGAUGAUAAUUGUGGUUAUGAGGCCGUAUUCGGCUUUCUUGUUAGAGGAGAAAUAAAUCAUUUUCUCGUCCGCCAACAACUUUUUAAAGAGUUGAUGUCACACAAGGAGUUCUACACAUCAUCUUAUAGAAAAUGCAUGUAAUGCAUUGAUCAACCAAGAUAUGAUUUCUCGGAGAUAUUUUUUUUACUUUGGAGUGGCCUACCUCAAGAUCCAUUCGGACGCAUCAUGUGUAUUGGAUGAUUUUAAAAGUUGCUACAUUUUGUUGAAGUUUAUUUGAAACCAAAGUGUCCUAUACCAAGUACAUCAUUGGAGUGGACGACACAUUUCACAAAAGAGCCGGAAACUUGGUCAUAUCAACUUUUAGAAAGGAUGGAAGAUUUCAUCAAAUUGAGCGAGAUUAAAAGAAUCAAAUAAGAAAAAGUCAAAGGAGAAAUCAAUAGUAGAUUUAUGCGGUGUUGCAUCUUUUAAUACAUCUUAGAUUAUAAUCGAUACACUUCUUUUGAAUGUAUUAUCGUUAAAUUUGUAAUCUUGAUACAAUUUAAUACAUAAAUAAUAUAUAUUCAGUAAUGAUAAAUAAUAUAUAUUCAGUAA